CGUCUCAGUUCGGAUUGCAGGCUGCAACUCGCCUGUAUGAAGUCGGAAUUGCUAGUAAUCGCGGAUCAGCAUGCCGCGGUGAAUACGUUCCCGGGCCUUGUACACACCGCCCGUCACACCAUGAGAGCCGGGAACACCCGAAGUCCGUAGUCUAACCGUAAGGAGGACGCGGCCGAAGGUGGGUUUGGUAAUUGGGGUGAAGUCGUAACAAGGUACC
rnacentral:rRNA from 1 species